rnacentral:rRNA from 1 species
AUGUGGCGCACCGGCGAGCUCCAUUGGCGCUGCAGUGUGGACGCGCGCGGGUCUGGGGCCCGAGCCCAGAUCUGGCGCGGCCGGUGGCUGCUGCGGCGGGCCACCGCGGGUGGCAGGCUGGUCGGGACGUGGCGGUUCCGGCCGGGAGCUGCAGGUCCGUGGCGGUGGCGGCGUGCCACGGAAAAGGACGGCGACGCGGCGGCGUCGCACGGGACGGGCGGGGCUCCGGCGGAUCUGGUGUGUGGCGGCCGGUGGGAGAGCGGCUCGAGGUGUUCCCAGCUUGUUGGUGCUCCUACGGCGGGUCCCGGCGGCGUUCGGGGCGCGGAUCCGGGCGAGGCUGCCCCGGAUCUGCUGCGUGGUGGUCAACCUCGACUUCGGCGGGCUGUGGGCGGCGUUGCGGCGCGUUGGCUACGGCAGCGAGGAGGGAGGAUGGCGGCGCGGCGGUGCCGCUCUUGGCGGUGGGUGCGGGGCUGCCAUGACGGCGCGUGGUGCCGUGAUGGUUUUGCUUGCCGUGUAAGAGGCGGUUGGCGGUGGUGA